rnacentral:rRNA from 1 species
AGAGUUUGAUCCUGGCUCAGAGUGAACGCUGGCGGCGUGCUUAACACAUGCAAGUCGAACGGUAACAGGAACUAGCUUGCUAGUUUGCUGACGAGUGGCGCACGGGUGAGUAAUAUAUAGUUAAUGUACCUCGAAGACCGGGAUAGCCAUUGGAAACGAUGAUUAAUACCGGAUACUCCUUCUAAUCAUAAGAUUAGUCGGGAAACGUUUUUUCGCUUCGAGAUCAGACUAUAUCCCAUCAGUUAGUUGGUAGUGUAAGAGACUACCAAGGCAAUGACGGGUAGCGGGUUUGAGAGGAUGAUCCGCCACACUGGUACUGAGACACGGACCAGACUCCUACGGGAGGCAGCAGUGAGGAAUAUUGCACAAUGGAGGAAACUCUGAUGCAGCAACGCCGCGUGGAGGAUGACGCAUUUCGGUGUGUAAACUCCUUUUAUAUGUCAAGAAAAUGACGGUAGCAUAUGAAUAAGCACCGGCUAACUCCGUGCCAGCAGCCGCGGUAAUACGGAGGGUGCAAGCGUUACUCGGAAUCACUGGGCGUAAAGGGCGCGCAGGCUGGUUGGUAAGUCUGAUGUGAAAUCCUACAGCUCAACCGUAGAACUGCAUUGGAAACUACCAACCUAGAGUCUGGGAGGGGAAGAUGGAAUUAGUUGUGUAGGGGUAAAAUCCGUAGAGAUAACUAGGAAUACCAAAAGCGAAGGCGAUCUUCUGGAACAGUACUGACGCUGAGAUGCGAAAGCGUGGGGAGCAAACAGGAUUAGAUACCCUGGUAGUCCACGCAGUAAACGAUGAAUGUUAGUCGUCGGGUAGGUCCAUUCGGUGAUGCAGUUAACACAUUAAACAUUCCGCCUGGGGAGUACGGUCGCAAGAUUAAAACUCAAAGGAAUAGACGGGGACCCGCACAAGUGGUGGAGCAUGUGGUUUAAUUCGAAAAUACGCGAAGAACCUUACCUAGCCUUGACAUAUUUUAGAACACACCAGAGAUGGAGUGGUGCCUUCGGGAGUUCAUAUACAGGUGCUGCACGGCUGUCGUCAGCUCGUGUCGUGAGAUGUUGGGUUAAGUCCCGCAACGAGCGCAACCCUCGUGUCUAGUUACUAACAGUUCGGCUGAGACUCUAUUAGGACUGCCUUCGCAAGAAGGAGGAAGGUGAGGACGACGUCAAGUCAUCAUGGCCCUUACGGCUAGGGCAACACACGUGCUACAAUGGGCAGGACAAUUAGAAGCAAUACCGCGAGGUGGAGCAAAUCUAUAAACCUGUUCUCAGUUCGGAUUGUAGUCUGCAACUCGACUACAUGAAGCUGGAAUCACUAGUAAUCGUAGAUCAGCUAUGCUACGGUGAAUACGUUCCCGGGUCUUGUACUCACCGCCCGUCACACCAUGGGAGUUGAUUUCACCCGAAGCGGGGAAGCUAAACUGGCUACCCUCCACGGUGGAAUUAGCGACUGGGGUGAAGUCGUAACAAGGUAGCCGU